GACGAACCGUGCAAACGUUGUUCGGAAUCACUGGGCUUAAAGGGCGCGUAGGCGGGCAAGCAAGUCCGGGGUGAAAUCUUUCGGCCCAACCGGAAAAGUGCCUUGGAUACUGCUUGUCUGGAGGGAGGUAGGGGCAGACGGAACUUCCGGUGGAGCGGUGAAAUGCGUUGAGAUCGGAAAGAACACCAACGGCGAAAGCACUCUGCUGGGCCGACACUGACACUGAGAGACGAAAGCUAGGGGAGCAAAUGGG
rnacentral:rRNA from 1 species